AUGUGGCUGGGGGGUGAUGGUUCUCAGUGCAGCGACCAGCAAGAGCAGGGACUUGAGAGUGUGCUUUCAAGAGUACAUGCCAGGGCCCAAGAGCUGUAUCAGUCUAUCCAGCUGGUGGGAUGCUGCAUAAUUAGCCAUUCAUUCCUGCAGUUUCUUUUGUGCCUGGACUACAUGAAGAGUUUCCUUUCAAGUGCUGACCUGACUCCAGCAAGGAGAGUGAGCUGUCAAUACGUAAAAAUAAAGUCCUUUGUCCAACAACCCCCCUGAUGGGGGGACAGAGGGAAAUCAGGUCCUUCCCUGAAAGAGAUGGAGCAUGCACAGCUGAGAGAAGUUCUUGAAAUGGAAAGAAGUCACUGCUGAAGAAAUGUGCAUUGUUGGGAGUGACUGUGACAGGCAUGGGAAGAAUCACACAGCCAGGGAUAAAAGGAGGAAAGCCACUCCUCUUAGGAUGUUAAAAGAUCUGGGAAGAUCUGCUGUAGGCCAGGAAGCCAUUUAAAGGUUGCUGAACUAAAAACAAUUCUGGAGAAUAGACCUGGCUUUAUAAAGAGAAAAGUGAAUAGAGCCAAACAUGGCUCUCAGGUACUCCUCUCUCUCCAAAAUUACUGAACCUAGUCAUUGGGAUUCAUAGCUCUUCUUGCUAUUUUUGGGUUAUUUUAAGACAGAUAAGGAAUGUGGGAGAUCCCAUUAAAAGUGUGCCCAAUGUAGCAUCUUGUCUUGCAGACAAAAAAAUAAGUAGUGUUGGUUGGACACUGGGAGCAGAAAUUAUGUAACACAGAGCAUAUUUAAACCCCCAAAUUUCAGUUUACUUAGGAUUGUUAAUGGUUUAUCUAAAGGGAGGGGAAAGAAAAUGUAUGAGAUAGGAAGGAGAAUGAUGUGAACUGCUAAAGCACAAAGCAGACUUGGAACAUGAAAGAGGAAAACACGAUGCCAAAGUAAUUAGAUGAUAUAAGCAUAAGGCAGGAAAGUUAGCCAGCACUUAUCUUCAUUUAUAAAUAAUGCUUCUGGACAUUUCUUCCCAUCUCAUUUAUAGAGAUGAAUAUUCUGCUGUAAACCAGACCUGCUCUGAACAUCAGAAUCUCACCCUGGAAUAACCUAGGGGAUCUUAGCAGGAUAUGACAAUGCAGGAUAUGACUUUGCAGGUCAGAGCAGCACAGUAUAUCUCCCUGUUUUGAGUAUAUCAGAUGCCAGUACUUCAUGGUUAUACUUUCUGAGAUUGUACAAAACCAACCAACCAAAACAACAAUAACAAUAACAACAAACAAUAGGAAGACACAAAUCCUUGUUAGUCCAGUCUCAUGAAAGAUGUUGGUCCUCCUACUGAAGUGAACUCAAAAUCUUUUUUAUUGAACUGUGACGGAAUAGACCCUCUAAACAUGAAAUAGGAAUUUGAAGAAACACUCCCAAUCAACUCUGAAAUUUUCAAAGGUGACAUUGUCUCUGUAUGCCUGAUAGCCAAUGAACAAUAUAGGAAGGGGUAGGUUUGUGGUCCUUACAAAGCUUUGAAAGUCUCUGCCUCAACUUGCCACGCAUAUAGCUUGUGUUUGAUGCAACUCUUCAUCAUGAUUCAGUAUUUUACUUUGCAUAGAAAGUAGAGUUUUUUGUUGUUGUGUGUUUUUUUUUUUUUUUUUUGUGUGUGUUUUUUUUUUUUCCCCAAUGAAUAACUGCCAUGAUUUAAUUACUACUUAUGAUUUAAUAACUACUAUGAUUUAAUUCCGAUUCCAACAUUGUGCUGAAAUGAGUGCUUGCUGGUAACUUAUCUGGUUAACCUAUAAGCAAAUUGUCCAGGGAAGUAGAAUACAGAGGAGCAAAAUUUCUAGUUUUAAGAGUUGUUUAUGUCUUUAGACUUGCUCCAAAGCAUUUGUGAUGUAUCUGUUCACAGCUAACGUAUUUUUAAUCCAGGCUUUUCAGGGUUUCUGACUGGGUUCAUGUGCUAGAAGACAGAGCAUCAAAACCCUGUGGUCACCCUUGCUGGUGGUCUGUUAGUGGUGUACGGGGUGCCAGCUGGUUGUCAAUAAUGUUAUUUUUCCUUCUUUCUACCAUCUUCUAUGUCAUAGAAAGGUCAUGUUAAAGGCAUAACACUUAAUAAUACUUCAUGCUGCUUUCCAAAGCAGACGAUUAUUCAUGACUGCCAUAGAAAUGCCAGUAAAAUGCAAAUGUGAUUUCAACUCUGGUAGCAGAUAAAGAACAGGUAAAGUCACUUCAACAUUCUGCAUUCUGCAAAGGGGGAGGAAUUUUAGUGUUGUGGUUUUUUUUUUUUUUUUUUUUGUUAUUGUUUGUUUGUUUGUUUUCCUUAAUGAAAUGUACUCUGGGCUAUGAAAGUGUGAGGUCUCCUUACUUUUUAUAUAAUAAGUAAAUUAAUGAAUAAAUCAAAUAAAAUACAAAGUCCUUCA
rnacentral:lncRNA from 1 species